rnacentral:rRNA from 1 species
CAGCCGCCGCGGGAAUACGAAGGGGGCUAGCGUUGUUCGGAAUUACUGGGCGUAAAGCGUGCGUAGGCGGUGAGUUAAGUCUGCUGUGAAAUCCCCGGGCUCAACCUGGGAAUGGCAGUGGAUACUGGCUCGCUAGAGUGUGUCAGAGGAUGGUGGAAUUCCCGGUGUAGCGGUGAAAUGCGUAGAGAUCGGGAGGAACAUCAGUGGCGAAGGCGGCCAUCUGGGACAACACUGACGCUGAGGCACGAAAGCGUGGGGAGCAAACAGGAUUAGAUACCCCGGUAGUCCCUGUCUCUUAUAC